ACUUGGAUACCGUAGUAAUUCUAAAGCUAAUACAUGCGUAAAACCCCGACUUCGGAGAGGGGGUAUUUUUUUUAAAUAAACCUUCUCAUGUUUACAUGAUAUUUGGGUGAGUCAUAAUAACUUAACGGAUCGCAUUGGUCUUGUACCGGCGAUGAAUCUUUCAAGUUUCUGCCCUAUCAUCUUUCGAUGGGGGUGUAUUGGACCACCGUGGCGGUAAGGGGAAACGAAAAAUAAGGGUUCUAUUUCGGAGAGGGAGCCUGAAAAACGGCUACCACAUCCAAGGAAGGCAGCGGGCGCGUAAAUUACCCAAUCCUGACACAGGGAGGUAGUGACAAUAAAUAACAAUGCGGAACCUUUCAGGUUUUGCAAUUGGAAUGAAAACAAUUUAAAUCCCUUAUCGAGGAUCAUUU
rnacentral:rRNA from 1 species